rnacentral:lncRNA from 1 species
UGGGUUGACAGUGAAGGGUGAGGAACAGCCUUGACAUUGAAAAACCGCAGGCUAUUAGCUCUAAACUUCUGCCUGGUAUAAUGGAAGGAACAUCGGUCUUGGAUUUAGACGAGGGCUUUAAUUUCAAGGAGCUCACAUUCAAAUGGAGCAGAAAGGCACUGAACCCAGAAACAAAUAAUUCUCUAGGAUGGUGGACACAUGGGAAUAAGUGAGAGGAUAACACCCAUUUUGCAGAGGAGGAGAUGGAUAUUCAGAGAGGCUGGAAGUGCAUUUGCUAAAGAACCUCACUUCUACCGAUCUCAUUUUCCACGCACUUACAAACGGACCAGAGGUUGCAAAAGUGAGUCUCUCCUCGCUUCUACCGAUCUCAUUUUCCACGCACUUACAAACGGACCAGUGGUUGCAAAAGUGAGUCUCUCCUCGCUGAACUGCUCUGUUGUUUCCAGUUUCUGAGGGGCCAUCUCGGGCAAGGCUUGGAUGGGGCAGGGCCUUCUCUAGGUCUUGGGACCGCCCCUCAUUGCAGGAGACAAAACUUCCCACAUCCCACAUCCAGGCUUCUCUGAUGUCCCCUCCCCCGCACCCAACCCGCACCCAUCUUCCCUGUUUCAACCCUCCAACUCCCCUCUCCCCAGCAUCUCCAGGGGUCUGCGUUCUCCUUCCCAGCCCUGGGAGCUUUAUUUCAAGCUGAGAUACAAUGACACAUCAUGUUCCUUUUCUCUUUCCUUCUUCUUUUUAAUAAAGC